rnacentral:tRNA from 1 species
GCAGUGGUGGUUCAGUGGUAGAAUUCUCAACUUCCAUGUGGGGGACCCAGGUUUGAACCCUGGCCAAUGCA